UAAAGUGGCGCACGGGUGAGUAACACGUGACUAACCUACCCUGGAGUGGGGGAUAACUGAGGGAAACCUUAGCUAAUACCGCAUAAUACCUAUGGGUCAAAGGAGCAAUUCGCUUUAGGAGGGGGUCGCGGCAGAUUAGCUAGUUGGCGGGGUAAUGGCCCACCAAGGCAGUGAUCUGUAUCCGGCCUGAGAGGGCGCACGGACACACUGGAACUGAAACACGGUCCAG
rnacentral:rRNA from 1 species